rnacentral:rRNA from 1 species
CAGGGAUUGCCCCAGUAACGGCGAGUGAAGCGGCAGCAGCCCAGAUUUGAAAUCCGGCUUCGGCCCGAGUUGUAAUCUGCAGAGGAUGCUUCGGGGCGGGCGUCCCUCCGAGUCCCCUGGAACGGGGCGCCAGAGAGGGUGACAGCCCCGUACGGCCGGACGUGCCGCCCGCGCGAAGCUCCCUCGAAGAGUCGAGUAGUUUGGGAAUGCUGCUCAAAGCGGGAGGUAAAUUCCUUCCAAGGCUAAAUACCGGCCGGAGACCGAUAGCGCACAAGUAGAGUGAUCGAAAGAUGAAAAGCACUUUGGAAAGAGGGUUAAACAGUACGUGAAAUUGCUGAGAGGGAAGCGCCUGCGGCCAGACUCGCGCCCUGCGGAUCAUCGGGUGCCUCGCGCCCGUGCACUCCGCCGGGAACCGGGCCAGCAUCGGCUCGGGCGGGGGACAAAAGCGGGGGGAACGUGGCCUCCCCCGGGAGGUGUUAUAGCCCCCCGCCCAAUGCCCCGCGGCGGGCCGAGGACCGCGCCGCUCCGGCGGCAAGGAUGCUGGCGUAAUGGCCGUCGGCG